UACGGAGGGUGCAAGCGUUAUCCGGAAUCACUGGGUUUAAAGGGUGCGUAGGUGGGCCAAUAAGUCAGAGGUGAAAGCCCGCAGCUUAACUGCGGAACUGCCUUUGAUACUGUUGGUCUUGAAUCAGGUUGAGGUAUGCGGAAUGUGGCAUGUAGCGGUGAAAUGCGUAGAUAUGCCAUAGAACACCGAUUGCGAAGGCAGCAUACUGGCCCUGUAUUGACGCUGAGGCACGAAAGCGUGGGGAGCGAACAGG
rnacentral:rRNA from 1 species